rnacentral:lncRNA from 1 species
UCAGAUUUUUUCUUCUUUCUCUCUCUUCCUUUUCUAUCUCUUCGAGCAACUCAAGCCCUAGUAUUGAUGGCCGACGAGAAAGAAGAAUCUCUCUCUCUCUCUUCGAUUCUAUCUCAUAUUUCUUCUUCUUUCUCUCUCUUUGAGCAAUUCAAGCCCUAGUAUUUAUGGUCGAGGAGAAAGAAGAAUCUCCCUUCGAGCAACUCAAGAUACACACCCUAGUAUUGAUGGUCGUCGAGGCAUUAGAAUAGAGUGAAAGGCAGCAGGAAAUAGAAAAGAGUGAAUUUUUUGAACAGAGAGGAGUAUGUGAUGAAUUCUUAUCAUAAAUUUGUGGUACGAACACGACAAACUUUCUUCUCUUCUUGGCCGGAAAACGCCAUCUCCGACGAACUUUCUUCUCUUCUUUGGUAUUUAGCUACAUACAAUGAUACAAAUACAUGCUGUUGGACAUGGGAUUUCCACACAAAUUCACAAAAUGGAUAAUGGAAUGCAUCCCUUCUGUCACAUACUCAUUCAGCCUAAAUGGUGGACUAACACCUCCGUUUAAAGGCAAAAGGGGUUUAUGACAAGGCGAUCCAAUGUCCCCCUAUCUAUUUGUGAUUGUCAUGGAAUAUUUGAACAGGGAACUCAAGUCUAUGAUGAC